ensembl:lncRNA
CUGCAAGAACGCUGUCAGCAGACUAACUCGGCCAGUGAGGAGGAUCGCCUUCAGCGACGCUAGACCCACACAAAGAACCUGUGCCUGCGAUGCUGAAGCCUGACAGAGUGAGCGCCCCGAGCGAAGGGAGCGCCUUGCCGCUCAGAAUAACGGAAACACCACGAUAGGACACAACGUCCCACACCGCCCAGCAGCCGGCGGGCAGCACUGCGCCUGUGCGGUAUCCUCUGGCACACGGCACUCUCGCCCCUUCCCUCCGGGCGCCUCCAUCCCGCGGGGGGAGCGGGUUGUCCAGGCCUCUCCACUCCGGGUCCUGCGAACCGCCCUGCCCGGGCUUCCGCCCUCCAGCCCAGGGAAACAACAGCGGGGCUGCCGCCUCCUGCUUGUACAAGGCCGCCGCAGACCCUCCGCACUGCCGUAGAGCCGGCGCACCUCCCUCCCCCCCAUUGCGGGAGCGUUGGUUGGCCCUCCCGGGGCACUCUGGGAACUGGAGGGGCUGCGUUCUCGUUUCCGCUGCGCGUGGGGUGGCGGUGCGUGCUCGCUAAGGAUGCUCCGCGGGGCGGUCGGCGCUUGCCGCUGGGGCCUGAGAACCGGGAGGUGCGGGGGCGAGGCGAGGCGAGGCGAUGCUGUGCGUGAGGGGAUCGGCCGUGCGCGUUGAUGACCACCCAUAGUCUGUCCAGACCAGAAGAAGAACCUUUUGGAAGAUGACUCCUCAUACUGUACUGCUUCGGUAUCUCAGUCUUUAAAGUGAAAACAUUAUUUUUUUCCUUCCUUUCAAGUGAAAGAAGUGGAAGUUUGGCAGUGGCCGAAGCAAGCAACAGUGCAACCACGUGACAUCGCAGGAGUACGAGUGUGUUUGUGCAGUAGCCAUGGGUGAUCUUCCUGGCAUCACAGGGAUAGGCAUGUGGUGAAAGCUUCUAAGCAUGUGAAGAGUGUGUACUAGAAGGUGACGAAGUACUGACACCCCAGCUCUCCUGCAGUUUUAUGAGGAAGAAUUGUUAGAACCAGCCUGAAACCAGUGGCAAUGCAAGACUACUCCCUUAGAAACAAAAAGCUGUUAAGGACUUGGGAAUGUUAAGCCUUUAAAUGCUUACACUAACACGAGUUAUUUCUAACUGUAUUAGAACAGUGCUUAUGUAGACAUAAAAAAAAAAAAAAAUAAAGAUUUAUGUUUCUGUUAUUAGAACUCUUGUCUUUUCCAAGCUGUAUUAACUGCCAAACAGAAGCAACUGCCAAGACUUGUUUUUUAUCAUUUUUGGGUUACCAGUUCACUACUUUGGAUUAAAAUACAGGAGUUAAUUAGUGUAUAGAACGUAAUCACUGAAACCAUGCCCCUCUGUAGCACUCAGAGUGGGUUAGCUGUUAGAUGUUGUGGUGAGGAAAAGCAGAAAUUUAAAUUUAGCAAACCUAUGUUUAAAAAUCACAAGAAAGGUGUUUUUCCAACAUGAAGAACUGCAAGCUAGUUCUGUAACUAGCUACAUAGAUCAGCUACAUGUUGUGAUACUUCAAGUAAAGUUAAAGUAGAGUGAAAUGCACUUCAAGAACAGCAAAUUAAUGUCCUAUUUUUUUGUUUGUUUUCUGAGAGGAAAGUUCAUUAAUUCAUUGUAUCAGAAAAGCAAAUGCUAAAUUUCUGUAUCUCAAAUUGUCUUACUGUGUAUUAAUGUAAGCAAAUUAUUAAUGCAACAUCUAAGCACAAGUGGGAGUGAAUUUCUGGUUUCUCAAAAGGGAUGGCAGUUUAGACAAGCAAUAAAUUUGUAGUGUUUUAGAAUGUAGAAAGCUCAAGGUUGUGCUAGGGACUGUACUUCCUGAAGACAGCAUCUGUUCAAGUGUUUUGCGCCUGGGUCUUUGUUUUUGCAUGGCGGGACUGGCAAGGCUAGUUUUUAAGACCUUUUUUUUAAAAAACAAAAACAAAAAACACAAAACAAGCUGCAAACAGCCAGUACAGUUUUCUUGAUAGCUAAAAUGUUAACUUCCUUUGAACAAGAAAAAUAAUGGGUAAUCUUAGGCAUCAGAAUAUAUUAACUGUUCCAUGGUGUGGUGGAAUGAAGAACAAAAAAGGAAAAAGGGUAGAGGAAUAUGUAAGGGGCACUGAUUACUAAAACAGUAAUGGUAAAUAGAAUUAUGGUAAAAAUAAGUGAAUAUAAAUGCAUCAGGACUCCCUUUCUUAGCUUUUUACGAGCAGCUAACUUGACUUCAGUUGUGAAAAAAAGUAAGGAAUCUCAGGUUUUUCUCCAUUAUUAUUUUAGACUAACAUUGUCUGACAGGCUGUUCAUUUUAUUAAAAUGAGUUGAAAGGAUAAGAGAUUCCCAGGUGAGCCGGGGGAGGAAGGGGGCGAAGAUAUUUGUGCUAGAUCAGUGUUGCACCAAUCCUCAAUUCUGCUACCUACUCCAGUGCUCUAUGGAAGGAAGUAUUAAAGCUGAGAAACAGAACUCUUGAAAGGUGUGCACAGAAAGAGAAGUGUCACAUUCCAGAUCAUUCUUUAGCCUCGCAUACUGCAUCCAGCUUCACUAGGGCAGGUUCUGUUGAAGGAAAUAUUGAAGGAAAUUGUAAUAAAUUUAACAGAAGAAUAUGAAGAAAGUCACGUGCAUGCUGAUACCCUUACUGAGGAAGCAAUGCACAAAACUGGCUGUUUUUUUUUUUUUAAAUUUAACUUCACAGCAAAGCAGAUGUCACAU